rnacentral:lncRNA from 1 species
GAAUAUGCCAUGGUGGAUCCAAAAGUUACAGCUCCGGCGCUGCUGAUCAUGGGAGAGAAAGACUAUGUCCUGAAGUUUCCAGGCAUGGAGGACUACAUAAGGGCUGGCCAAGUGAAGCAUUUUGUCCCUAACUUAGACAUCACCUUCAUGCCGGAAGGGAGCCAUUUCGUCCAUGAGCAACUACCAGAGCAAGUGAACAGUCUUGUAGUUGACUUCCUGAACAAGCAAAAUAUCUAAUUACGAGUCCCUGACUAUGGCAGAAUUUGGUCUUGGUGAGAGUAAAUGAACUCAUUCAACGCUUUUCAGUAUCUGUAAUCACCAAGGAUUCUUAGCUUCCUACUUAAGGAUGAUGAGACCUUCUAACUCUCAUGUUUCAUUAGCUUUGAAAAUGUAUGAAUUUGGAAAAUGAAGACUCUGCAAGUUUUGAUUAUUAGAGUCUAUAAAAGCAAAUAUCCUGAUCUCACAAGCAAAAAAAUUCAGAUUAUCCAUGCAUAUUGAUUUACAAGGAGGAGUUUGAUAGCAAUUUCUCGCAGAGUACUUAUAACCAAAUUUAGCAGGGCAGGUCUGCAGCUUUUAGCGCACUCGUGUUACGUAUAAGCAUCACCUAAAACUAACGUAUUUCAUCUUCAGUGUAUUUAGUAAAUGCCUUUGGGGCACCUGUAAAAGAAGGGAGAGUAUUGGAUCGGUGGUCAAAGGAGAGUGUAAUGGAGAAAACUGAGGAAUGAUAAGAGUGAUGGAGAAAACAGAGAAUCCCUUUGUGGUUGGAAAGAGAGAUUAUGAAAAUAGACAAAUUUGUGAUUUAACUUUAAUUUAAGACCGAUAGAUCUUCACACCACUGCUUCACAACCCAAACUCAUGGGUGACUACUACCCAGAACAUAAGUUCUUUCAUUACACAGAACAUAAGUUGCUGAUAUCCAACUGACCAGAUAGGCAUGAAUCAUGAAAAAUGUCAGGGACAAAGCAUAUUAUAGAUUUACUAGCAUGUUGAUCUUGCAUGUCCAGACUACAUGCAUCAUAUUAACUAGGAUGAAUAUGUGACAAUAAUUCAACUCUUCAUCAAUUGAAAUGAACUCGAAAAUCCAUCUCCACAGGACUUUUUUCAGCUUCUUAAAGAGUGAUUUUGUUAGUACAUUCCAUGUCGUCUAGAGGAUUCAUGUUAACUAGAAUGAAACUUUCAACCACUAAAACAUGGAAAAUAUCAAUGUAGGGCCUUUUUCCUGACCUCUUAGAAAGUAAUUUUGUUAAUUAGACAAAUGAGCAACAGAACUUUAACAGGAUAAUUUUGUUAGCUUCUUGAAAAGCGACCUUUUUAAUUUGUUUAAUAGCCGUUUCGAGUGACAAAUUUUUACGUUCUUCAGCUGAUGCUGAGGAGGUAGUGUGGAACAGAGGGCUGUUAAGGAGAGUUGGUGUAUGCCAUAGGAUUGGUGGGAACGCUUAUGUAUUUCUCUCGCUCUACUGAGUCAGAGUCACAGGCAACGAGGAGUCCUGGUACAGAAGUUUUUUUUUUUUUUUUUUUUGUCCUGGUACAGAAGUUAAUUAACUGUUUAGGCAGGGAUAUACCAUCACGAAACCAUUUGAAUGCUUCCACAAGUAGGACAAGGAAAAUAGUCAAGCAGAUCCCGCAAGAUUUUUCUAACAUUGAUUGGGCAAGGCAUGAUAUUUUUCUUUUCUUCUUUUGCAUCUAAAAAUGAAAAAUGUUGAUGGUGAUUUUGCUGUUUUGCAGUUACUAGCCAUCCAGAUGAUUAGGAAAUAAAUAAAAGCACAAUUGGAAAGACCAUUCUUUAACCCUAAGCUUCGAUUCUGUGAUACUUUUAUUGGUAGACAAUGUCUUAUCAUGUCUUAUCAUAUCAGUUCUGGUCAAUUAUAUUCACAUCCUUUCAGCGGACUACUCACUAAACACUUCAAAUUUUCAGCUUUUUAAGACAUAAGCUGUCAAAGCGUGAACUUAAUGAAUCGUUUGGAGCAAUGCGCACAACUGGAUUAGCAAACUAUUCUAAGCCAAGGAUGCUCUUGAGGAUCUACAACUUUGCGUUGAAACAAUUGCUUGUCUUAUUUGGGAGGAAGUUAUAUCUGCCUUGUCAGCAUUUUCGGAGAAAUCAAUGAUUUAACUACCACAAAGGCCAUCUAUAAUGUCAAGCUAAUAACUCCUCACCUACUUCCCUCUCCCUCUCCCUCUCUCUCUCUCUCUCUCGCUCUCUCUUCCUCUUCCCCCCCCCCCCCCCCUAUAAUUUUCACAGUAAUGACAUUUCAACAAUAUGGUCAUACAUUUUAAAAUUUACAUAUGUAAUGACAUCAAAAUGAUCAAAAAGGUAAAAAGAUACCUUGAUGUGAGAUUCCCAUAUACUUGGAUCGUCGACAACAACUCUUUUAUUCAAUUAUCCCAACCAAAUCCAGACUGAGACAUAAGUUUUUGAAAACUGCUAUACUGUUUUCUCAAUUUGGUUACCUUGUUCCUCAGGUGGACCAUGCUAUAUGGGCAUCCUGUUUGGCUAACGAAUUCAUUAUGGAUAUUCCUCCACCCUACUUUGUUGAAAGGAGAAGAUGUGCGAUUUUCCUUUUUGACCUCAUCCACCAACGAACUGAUAAAUAGGUUGGUUACAGACUGGGUCCACUUUGCACUGAAUGUCUGUCUCUUAGAUGCCAUUUAAUCUUUGACUAGUUGAGUAGGAUAUGAGUUAUGAGUUAAAUCGAUGACGUAAUACUGUACAUGGCAUUCACAAAUCAUUUCUCAGAGAUGCAAGCGGAGUAGACUAUGAUGACAAAAUUGACAAUCUUGAACUAACUUGGAUAAACAGAUCUACGUUGCUUUUUCAGCUACAGACUACGUAGUACUAUGACUAUCAUGGAUCAUUGAGCAAAAUGCUCCAAAUGAGUGAAGAGGCUUGUGAGGAACCCAGCAUGGCCAAUUAGCAGGUCAUAUUUCCAACACCUNNNNNNNNNNNNNNNNNNNNNNNNNNNNNNNNNNNNNNNNNNNNNNNNNNNNNNNNNNNNNNNNNNNNNNNNNNNNNNNNNNNNNNNNNNNNNNNNNNNNCUCGCUUGCGUAAAGGAAAGUGUAGAGAGAGAGAGAGAGAGAGAGAGAGACGCACAUACAUGACUUGUUCAGUGACAUUAUCUCACAUGUGCUGCUGAGUUCAUCAUAUGAAGAAUCACCCAGUUCACAAAUUUUCUGUGUGCACCCCGCAGGUCCAAAGGUGGUGGUGUUCUUGCAUGGCUUCCCAGAGAUAUGGUACACGUGGAGGCACCAAAUGAUAGGCGUUGCCAAUGCAGGGUACCGUGCCGUCGCCUUCGAUUUCAGAGGCUAUGGGCUCUCCGAUCAGCCUCUUGACCCUGAGAAGGGUUCUUUGCCGAUCUUGUUGAAGAUGUGGUCGCCCUCCUUGAUGCUCUGGGCAUUGCAAAGGUACCACCACAUUAAUCUGUCACACUCAAAUACAUUUUUCCCCCUUUCAGAAUACUGACCUUGAUACGCGCGACCAUUAUAGGGAUGAUCAGACAAUUAUGCACUUGAGACAUUAACUUUGGCAAAAUUUUUGCUUUUGAGAGUUGAGUCUUGAGAAUCUUUCAUUUAUUAAUUCAUCAUCCUUUUCCUCUCCUCGAUUAGUUCCAGAAAAAUGCCGCUUUUCAUGCAUGUUCUCAGUUUGUCUUUGGCCAAUUGCUAAUUUUGCCUGUCACAAAACGGAUGAUACCAUCAAUUAUACAAUGCAAUAGUCACUGAACCAUUAAUCUAGAGAGGUUGUGCUUCUUGAUGUGGAUGUUUCUUGGUCAAACAAAAAAAGAAAAAAAAAAACCAUUCUUUUGUUUCUAGAUGCAUAUUCACUUGACCAUUAAUUAAAUGAAAGUGCAUACGCUUAGUAUUCUCCUUUUGGACAUUUUCUUCAUCUCUCUGUUCUCUACCUGUCUCCUGAGGUAGGUACGUUUUAGUUUAAGAACUGAUGAAUCUCAUGAAGGAUCCAGCUCAUAAAAACCGAGAACAUUUUAGACUUCACACAUGCGAUGCCUGUACUCCUUCACCGAGCUUGAGACCUAAGAAAUAGAUAAAGAUCUUCGCUGCGAAUAACAAACAGUUUGUUUCUGUCAAACUAAUGGCAACUUGCUUACUUUUUUCCUUAGUGAGGACAUCUCUUAGCCAAGCAUAGCACUGUAAAAAGAGCACGAAUAGGAUGAUGAUCUAGCAAUAAAGAAGAGGACGCUACUGCAAAAUCAACUGUCAUGAGAACAGAAACAGAUAAAAAAUAAAGAAAUCACAGGAUGAUUAUGUGAGUCACAAAGAGAAGUUCGUUGAUGAUAUGGGGUGUUGAAUCCAGGCCUUCCUGGUGGGGAAGGACUUCGGAGCUCUGCCAGCAUACCUAGUAGCAGCGGUCAAGCCAGAGAGGGUCUGUGGAGUCAUCACACUGGGCAUCCCCUUCAUGCUACCUGGACCCUCGGCCUUCCCGUCCCAUCUCUUUCCCAAAGGCUUUUACAUUCUCAGGUGGCAGGUAAAAUUCUUGACCCUCUCUCUCUCUCUCUCUCUCCACCACCUAUCCGCCACCUCUAGUAGUACCUCAAUUGAUUUCAGGAACCUGGGCGAGCAGAAGCUGACUUUGGCAGGCUAGACGUCAAGACAGUCAUAAGAAACAUCUACAUCCUCUUCUCAAGGAGUGAGCUCCCUGUCGCUGGCGAUGACCAAGAGAUCAUGGACUUGGUUGAUCAGUCGAUCCCGCUACCUCCGUGGUUCUCCGAGGAAGAUCUUGCGGCUUAUGCAUCCUUGUAUGAGAAGUCCGGGUUCCGGUUCGCGCUGCAGGUUCCAUACAGGUAAUCAUAGCAGACACCGACUCACGGGAAAUAAAAUGAGAGAAAUAUGAUUCUAGAUACUAAAAUUGUUCUAGCUAAAAACCAAAACAGCAGACGCUUUUUAAGGUCUAUAUGUCAUCUUUCUGCGCAUUUUUGGUCUAGGUCUAUGGGGAGGGAAUAUGCCAUAGCGGAUCCAAAAGUUACGGCUCCAGCGCUGCUGAUUAUGGGAGAGAAAGACUAUGUCCUGAAGUUUCCAGGCAUGGAGGACUACAUAAGGACUGGACAAGUGAAGCAUUUUGUCCCUAACUUAGACAUCACCUUCAUGCCGGAAGGGAGCCAUUUCGUCCACGAGCAACUUCCGGAGCAAGUGAACGCUCUGGUUGUCAACUUUCUAAACAAGCAAAACAUCUAAUUAUGAGUCCCUGACUAUCGCAGAAUAUGGUCUUUGUGAGAGUAAAUAAACUCAUUCGACGCUUUUUAGUGACUGUAAUCACUAAGAAUUCUUAGCGUCUGCUUAAGGAUGAUGAGGCCUUCUAUUUGAAUAUCACCAGUAUUGAACUCUCAUGUUUCAUUAGCUUUGAAAAUGUAUGAAUUUGGAAAUUGAAGAUUCAGUAAAAUUUUAACCAUUAGAGUCUAAUAAAGGCAAAUAUCCUGCACUUCGCUAGCAGAAAGAAUUAAAACUGUGAAUGUACAUUGACCGACAGUG